CUUUAACAUUGCAGCCUGAUGCUGAAAGACCCCCGAAGUGGGGAGACCCUCACUCAAGUCUCAGGAUGACCUGACCCCCCAAGAACUCACGAGAGACC
rnacentral:pre_miRNA from 14 species